UGUAGCGGUGAAAUGCGUAGAGAUCUGGAGGAAUACCGGUGGCGAAGGCGGCCCCCUGGACGAAGACUGACGCUCAGGUGCGAAAGCGUGGGGAGCAAACAGGAUUAGAUACCCUGGUAGUCCACGCCGUAAACGAUGUCGACUUGGAGGUUGUGCCCUUGAGGCGUGGCUUCCGGAGCUAACGCGUUAAGUCGACCGCCUGGGGAGUACGGCCGCAAGGUUAAAACUCAAAUGAAUUGACGGGGGCCCGCACAAGCGGUGGAGCAUGUGGUUUAAUUCGAUGCAACGCGAAGAACCUUACCUGGUCUUGACAUCCACAGAACUUUCCAGAGA
rnacentral:rRNA from 1 species